rnacentral:rRNA from 1 species
UACGGAGGGUGCAAACGUUGCUCGGAAUUACUGGGCGUAAAGCGUGCGCAGGCGGUUUUGUAAGUCUGUUGUGAAAGCCCCGGGCUCAACCUGGGAAUUGCGAUGGAGACUGCAAGGCUUGAAUCUGGCAGAGGGGGAUGGAAUUCCGCGUGUAGCAGUGAAAUGCGUAGAUAUGCGGAGGAACACCGAUGGCGAAGGCAAUCCCCUGGACCUGUACUGACGCUCAUGCACGAAAGCGUGGGGAGCAAACAGG